GGGUUAAGUCCGUAACGAGCGCAACCCUUGUCCUUAGUUACCAGCACGUUAUGGUGGGCGACUCUAAGGAGACUGCCGGUGACAAACCGGAGGAAGGUGGGGAGUGACGUCAAGUCAUCAUGGCCCUUACGGCCUCGGGCUACACACGUGCUACAAUGGUCGGUACAAAGGGUUGCCAAGCCGCGAGGUGGAGCUAAUCCCAUAAAACCGAUCGUAGUCCGGAUCGCAGUCCGCAACUCGACUGCGUGAAGUCGGAAUCGCUAGUAAUCGUGAAAUCAGAAUGUCACGGUGAAUACGUUCCCGGGCCUU
rnacentral:rRNA from 1 species